rnacentral:rRNA from 1 species
UACGUAGGGUGCGAGCGUUGUCCGGAAUUAUUGGGCGUAAAGAGCUCGUAGGCGGUUUGUCGCGUCGGCUGUGAAAACCCGGGGCUCAACUCCGGGCCUGCAGCCGAUACGGGCAGACUAGAGUUCGGCAGGGGAGACUGGAAUUCCUGGUGUAGCGGUGAAAUGCGCAGAUAUCAGGAGGAACACCGGUGGCGAAGGCGGGUCUCUGGGCCGUGACUGACGCUGAGGAGCGAAAGCGUGGGUAGCAAACAGG